rnacentral:rRNA from 1 species
UCCGUAGGCGGUGUGGCAAGUCGGAAGUGAAAUCUCUGGGCUUAACCCAGAGGCUGCUUCCGAAACUGCCGUGCUAGAGUGUGAGAGAGGCGAGUGGAAUUGCGGGUGUAGCGGUGAAAUGCGUAGAUAUCCGCAGGAACAUCCGAGGCGAAAGCGGCUCGCUGGAUCACAACUGACGCUGAGGGACGAAAGCUAGAGGAGCAAACAGGAUUAGAUACCCUGGUAGUCCUAGCCCUAAACCAUCAGGACUUGGGGUUUGCCCUGUACGGGGCAAGUCCCGUAGCUAACGCGUUAAGUCCUGCACCUGGGGAGUACGGUCGCAAGGCUGAA